ensembl:snoRNA U3 Small nucleolar RNA U3
AAGACUAUACUUUCAGGGAUCAUUUCUAUAGUUUCUGACUGGAGAAAUGUGUUUCAUAAGUGUAUGGUCUCGCUAACCACGAUGAUGAGUUGUGAUAUUCCCUUCUGAGCGUGAAGCUGAUGGAGAACAAAGGUUGUCAUUCCUGUCAUUAAUGAUUGCUCCUUGCUCUGGUGUUAAGCAUUGAGGAAGGGAAUAUGAUCAGAGUGGU